UACAGAGGGUGCAAGCGUUAAUCGGAAUUACUGGGCGUAAAGCGUGCGUAGACGGUUAUGUAAGUCAGAUGUGAAAGCCCCGGGCUUAACCUGGGAAUGGCAUUUGAGACUGCAUAGCUAGGGUGCGGAAGAGGGAAGCGGAAUUUCCGGUGUAGCGGUGAAAUGCGUAGAUAUCGGAAGGAACAUCAGUGGCGAAGGCGGCCCUCUGGUCCAGUACUGACACUCAAGUGCGAAAGCGUGGGGAGCAAACAGG
rnacentral:rRNA from 1 species